GCAUAUCAAUAAGCGGAGGAAAAGAAACCAACAGGGAUUGCCUCAGUAACGGCGAGUGAAGCGGCAACAGCUCAAAUUUGAAAUCUGGCCUCACGGUCCGAGUUGUAAUUUGUAGAGGAUGCUUUUGGCGAGGUGCUUUCCGAGUUCCCUGGAACGGGACGCCAUAGAGGGUGAGAGCCCCGUACGGUAAGACCACCGAGCCUCUGUAAAGCUCCUUCGACGAGUCGAGUAGUUUGGGAAUGCUGCUCUAAAUGGGAGGUGUACGUCUUCUAAAGCUAAAUACCGGCCAGAGACCGAUAGCGCACAAGUAGAGUGAUCGAAAGAUGAAAAGCACUUUGAAAAGAGGGUUAAAAAGUACGUGAAAUUGUUGAAAGGGAAGCAUUCAUGACCAGACUUGGGCUUGGUUGAACAUCCGGCGUUCUCGCCGGUGCACUCUGCCAGUCCAGGCCAGCAUCAGUUUGCCCCGGGGGACAAAGGCGGUGGGAAUGUGGCUCCCUUCGGGGAGUGUUAUAGCCCGCCGUGUAAUGCCCUGGGGCGGACUGAGGAACGCGCUUCCGC
rnacentral:sRNA from 1 species